UACGUAGGACCCAAGCGUUUUCCGGAUUUACUGGGUGUAAAGGGUGCGCAGGCGGAACUGUGCGUCGAGGGUUAAAGACUUAGGCUCAACCUAAGGAAUGCCCUCGAUACGGCAGAUCUUGAGUGCGAGAGAGGAUAGUGGAAUUCCUGGUGUAGCGGUGAAAUGCGUAGAUAUCAGGAGGAACACCAGUGGCGAAGGCGGCUAUCUGGCUCGCAACUGACGCUCAGGCACGAAAGCGUGGGGAGCAAACAGG
rnacentral:rRNA from 1 species